AGAGUUUGAUCCUAGCUCAGGAUGAAUGCUGGCGGCGUGGAUGAGGCAUGCAAGUCGAGUGGGUUUAGACCCACGGCAGACGAGGUAGGAACACGUAGGUACGUCCCCCAAAGUCAGGGAUAAUCCGGCGAAAGUCGGAACAAUACUUGAUGGUCCCGCAAGGGUAAAGAUUUAUCGCUUUGGGAACGGCCUGCGGUCUAUCAGCUUGUUGGUAAGGUAACGGCUUACCAAGGCUACGACGGAUAGGGGAGCUGAGAGGCUGACCCCCACCGAGGGAACUGAGACACGGUCCCUACUCCUACGGGAGGCUGCAGUCGAGAAUCUUCCGCAAUGGGCGAAAGCCUGACGGAGCGACGCCGCGUGGUUGAUGAAGUCCUUAGGGACGUAAAAACCUUUUAUGAGGGAAGAAGUUUAUUGACAUUACCUCAUGAAUAAGGGGCUCCCAACUCUGUGCCAGCAGGAGCGGUAAUACAGAGGCCCCGAGCAUUAUCCGGAAUCACUGGGCGUAAAGGGUGCGUAGGCGGCUAUGUUAGUCGGAUGUUAAAUCCCGGGGCUCAACCCCGGAAUCGCGUUCGAAACGGCAUGACUAGGAGAAGUGAGAGGUGUGUGGAACUCACGGUGUAGGGGUGAAAUCCGUUGAUAUCGUGGGGAACACCAAAUGCGAAGGCAACACACUGGCACUCUCUCGACGCUGAGGCACGAAAGCGUGGGUAGCGAAUGGGAUUAGAUACCCCAGUAGUCCACGCCCUAAACGUUGUCAACUGGCUUUUUCGAGUAUCGACCCUCGAAGAGGCGAAGCUAACGCGUUAAGUUGACCGCCUGGGUAGUACGACCGCAAGGUUAAAACUCAAAGGAAUAGACGGGGACCCGCACAAGCGGUGGAGCGCGAGGCUUAAUUCGUCGCUAAACGAAAAACCUUACCGAGGCUAGAAAUCCAGCUGCACGCCCUGGGAAACCAGGGAAGCUUUCGAAGGUGCUGGAC
rnacentral:rRNA from 1 species